GAAAUUUGAAUAAUGGAUUGUCUCAAA
rnacentral:piRNA from 1 species